rnacentral:rRNA from 1 species
CUACGGGUGGCAGCAGUGAGGAAUAUUGCGCAAUGGGGGAAACCCUGACGCAGCGACGCCGCGUGGAUGAUGAAGGCCUUCGGGUCGUAAAAUCCUGUCAGAAGGAAAGAAGUGUAUGGUAGCUAAUAUCUGCCAUACUUGACGGUACCUUCAAAGGAAGCACCGGCUAACUCCGUGCCAGCAGCCGCGGUAAUACGGAGGGUGCAAGCGUUGUUCGGAAUUACUGGGCGUAAAGCGCGCGUAGGCGGUUUUAUAAGUCAGAUGUGAAAGUCCACGGCUCAACCAUGGAAGUGCAUUUGAAACUGUAAGACUUGGGUAUUGGAGGGGGUAGUGGAAUUCCCGGUGUAGAGGUGAAAUUCGUAGAUAUCGGGAGGAAUACCGGUGGCGAAGGCGACUAUCUGGCCAAAUACUGACGCUGAGGUGCGAAAGCGUGGGGAGCAAACAGGAUUAGAUACCCGAGUAGUC